rnacentral:miRNA from 3 species
UGCCCUAGGGACUCAGUUCUGGU